rnacentral:rRNA from 1 species
UGAGCGUCAGUCUUUGUCCAGGGGGCCGCCUUCGCCACCGGUAUUCCUCCAGAUCUBUACGCAUUUCACCGCUACACCUGGAAUUCUACCCCCCUCUACAAGACUCAAGCCUGCCAGUUUCAAAUGCAGUUCCCAGGUUGAGCCCGGGGAUUUCACAUCUGACUUAACAGACCGCCUGCGUGCGCUUUACGCCCAGUAAUUCCGAUUAACGCUUGCACCCUCCGUAUUACCGCGGCUGCUGGCACGGAGUUAGCCGGUGCUUCUUCUGCGAGUAACGUCAAUCRCYAAGGUUAUUAACCUUAAYGCCUUCCUCCUCGCUGAAAGUACUUUACAACCCGAAGGCCUUCUUCAUACACGCGGCAUGGCUGCAUCAGGCUUGCGCCCAUUGUGCAAUAUUCCCCACUGCUGCCUCCCGUAGGAGUCUGGACCGUGUCUCAGUUCCAGUGUGGCUGGUCAUCCUCUCAGACCAGCUAGGGAUCGUCGCCUAGGUGAGCCAUUACCCCACCUACUAGCUAAUCCCAUCUGGGCACAUCUGAUGGCAUGAGGCCCGAAGGUCCCCCACUUUGGUCUUGCGACGUUAUGCGGUAUUAGCUACCGUUUCCAGUAGUUAUCCCCCUCCAUCAGGCAGUUUCCCAGACAUUACUCACCCGUCCGCCGCUCGUCACCCGAGAGCAAGCUCUCUGUGCUACCGCUCGACUUGCAUGUGUUAGGCSUGCCGCCAGCGUUCAAU